GACGAACGCUGGCGGCGUGCUUAACACAUGCAAGUCGAACGGAAAGGCCCUGCUUUUGUGGGGUGCUCGAGUGGCGAACGGGUGAGUAACACGUGAGUAACCUGCCCUUGACUUUGGGAUAACUUCAGGAAACUGGGGCUAAUACCGGAUAGGAGCUCCUGCUGCAUGGUGGGGGUUGGAAAGUUUCGGCGGUUGGGGAUGGACUCGCGGCUUAUCAGCUUGUUGGUGGGGUAGUGGCUUACCAAGGCUUUGGCGGGUAGCCGGCCUGAGAGGGUGACCGGCCACAUUGGGACUGAGAUAAGGCCCCGACUCCUACGGGAGGCAGCAGUGGGGAAUAUUGCACAAUGGGCGGAAGCCUGAUGCAGCAACGCCGCGUGCGGGAUGACGGCCUUCGGGUUGUAAACCGCUUUCGCCUGUGACGAAGCGUGAGUGACGGUAAUGGGUAAAGAAGCACCGGCUAACUACGUG
rnacentral:rRNA from 1 species